rnacentral:lncRNA from 1 species
UUGGGGGUCAGAAGUCCCUGCCCCACGGAAUUCCCUGCCCCACGGAUGUUCCUGCCCCACAGAAGUCCCUGCCCCAUAGAAAGCUCUGCCAGGCCUUCGUGGGGGGGGUAGGGGGUCAGAAGUCCCUGGCCCCCGGGAUUCCCUGCCCCAUGGAAUUCCCUGCCCCACGGAAGUCCCUGCCCCAUAGAAAGCUCUGUUGGGCCCUUGGGUGCAGGUUGGGGGUCAGAAGUCCCUGCCCCAUAGCAGUCCCUGCCCCAUAGAAAGCUCUGCCGGGCCCUUGGGAGUGGGUUGGGGGUCAGAAGUCCCUGCCCCACGGAAGUCCCUGCCCCACGGAAGUCCCUGCCCCAUAGAAAGCUCUGCCCCAUAGAAAGCUCUGCCAGGCCCUCAUGGGUGGGGGGGGGGUCAGAAGUCCCUGCCCCACGGCGUUCCCUGCCCCACAGCUGCAGCGCGUGUUGGGCUGGGAGCUGCAGCGCGUGGAGUUUCUGCGGGGCCGCCUGGAGGCGGCGGGCGCCGACGUCCGCGACGCAGCUGCAGGAGCUGAGCCCCGAGGGGGCGGCCCCGCUGCAAGGGAGCUGCGCCGCUGCCCAGGAGGAAUACGGACGCAUCCGGGACCGGCUACGCCGGGCGGCCGCCGUGCUGGAGGACGCGUUGCCGCGCUGCGCCCAGGUGAGGGCUUCCUGCCCCAUAGCGGGGUCCCCGUUGUCGCCGUUGGGUCACCUAUGGGGGUCUGCUGCCCCAUAGCGGGGUCCCUGUGCCACCACUGGGGUCUGCUGCCCCAUAGCGGGGUCCCUGUGUCGCUGUUGGGUCACCUAUGGGGGUCUGCUGCCCCAUAGCGGGGUCCCUAUGCCACCACUGGGGUCUGCUGCCCCAUAGCGGGGUCCCUAUGCCACCGUUGGGUACCCUCUGGGGUCUGCUGCCCCAUAGCGGGGUCCCUGUGCCAGCGUUGGGUCAUCUAUGGGGGUCUGCUGCCCCAUAGCAGCGUCCAUGUGCUAUCAUUGCAUCCCUAUGGGGGUCUGCUGCCCCAUAGUGGGGUCUCUGUGCCAGCAUUCGGUCCCUUUGGGGGUCUGCUGCCCCAUAGCGGGGUCCCCGUGCCACCAUUGGGUCCCUCUGGGGGUCUCCUGCCCCAUAGCGGUCUCCCCGUGCCACCGUUGGGUCCCUCUGGGGGUCUGCUGCCCCAUAGCGGGGUCCCCGUGUCACCGUUGGGUCCCUAUGGGGGUCUGCUGCCCCAUAGCGGGGUCCUUGUGUUGUCACUGGGUCCCUAUGGGGGUCUGCUGCCCCAUAGCGGGGUCCCUGUGCCAGCAUUGGGUGACUUUGGGGGUCUGCUGCCCCAUAGCGGGGUCCCUGUGUCAGCGUUGGGAACCUUUGGGGGUCUGCUGCCCCAUAGCGGGGUCCCUAUGCCACGAUUGGGGGUCUGCUGCCCCAUAG